CAGAGAGGAGGUUGGGGAGCUAGAUUGUGGGUUUUGAAGAGAUCUGCAAGGUCCUCAAAAUACAGUUAAGAAAAACAGCCAAGAUUGUCCUGUACUUGUGGGCAAGUGUCCUGAGAGGAAGCUUAGAGGAGAAAAGGGACUGACCCAGCAACCCAGACACAUCACGGUUGAACAAGGAGUGUGCCAGAAAGGGGCAGCCCAGAGCUCGGCAUGAGUCCUGCAGCACUUUGAUGCUGUGCUGAACUUGGGACCUGGAGCAGCCCUUGAUGAGCCAGUCGUUGACGUUCGAGUAGAUCUGGAUACCCCGAUAUCUGAGGGCCAGGCUGUCAAAGGGGAGGUCCUGUAGUGAGAGCUGGGCUUCCGCAGCCAGCCCAGAAGACAUCAGCCACGAUGCCCGCCUCAUCGCCACCGUGGCCAUGGACCUUGUGGCCGAGUCCGCUGCAUCUGAAACGGCCUGGAAGGAGGUCCUCGCCACGUUUUCCCCGCCUCGAGGAUAGCCAGGAACUCUGCCUUGGACUCCUCGGGCAGCAU